AACUGCAAACGCCUAGUGUUGCUGUACAUGAGAAGGCAGGACUUCGAUCAGUUAGGUAGCUACACUGCUUAGUCCGUUUUAGAAGGACUUUUGCCAACAUCGAAAUAACUUGGUCAAAAUGUAUUAUCCACCUAACUCGUUCCUGAACUGGCGCAAACCAGAAAUAUUCUGCACUACUUUUAAUAAUGGUGUCUGUUUACAACGUGUGUGGGAGAAAGGAAGAGGAGAAGAGAGGAGAGAAGUACAGUGGCGGAACGGUCACUCUCUCCUGCAGGGCAUGUGGGAUUGAGAUGGAUGAGAAGGAUGUGUCAUGAGACCGAGGUGAGAUGGCAGUGAGACCGAGGUGAAAUGAACUACCCUGUUUGAAAUGAUCUUGUGAGGACACUGAGACAGAAGCAAGACUUCUUAGUUAGAUUACACUGGCUCCACCUGUCUCAUACUGUAACUUGGCAGGUGGGAACCCAAUAAUUUAGUUUGAACUAUAGUAUUUAUUGCUCUAUGUACAUUUCACUUGGCAUUAUAAAAAAGAUAAUGUCUUAGAAAACCUGGAUAUAAUAUCACAAGUAUAUGAUAUCAUUAAUUGACAAAGGCAUUUUGGUUUAGAAAAAUAUUUGACUGAAAGGAUCCACUCAGAGGAGCCCAAGGCAUUGAAAUCAUAGAACCUAAAUUCUAUAUAUGUUUAAACACUUUUUUUUUUAAAUGCAUUCCCUGGUUUACUGUUUGAUGUAUUUGAUACCAUUCCACUAAUUCAGCUCCAGCCAUUACCACGAGCCCAUCCUCCCCAAUUAAGGUGCCACCAACCUCCUGUGGUAUAAUAGUGGUAUACCUGAAAAUAAGUGAUAAAUAAGGGGCUGUUUGAAAGGGGGUCAAAUAAACAUUGCCUUCUAUUUUUUACAGGUAAUAUACCACAACUUCUGUCUGAAAUGUGUAUGUCUCUGUUGGUGUUUUUUUGUUAUUUCCUGUGUGAGUGUGUCAUGUGGCUCUUCAUACCUCGUCCUUUCCUGACACUCUGGGGACCAUGUCAAUUAGCCUUAUUCUGUUUCUAUUUCCUCCCGCUAGAACACCUGGCAACCCAUUACUCUGCUGUUAAAGCAGGAGGGAGUUUUUGGACAAAGCACCUCAUAGCUCACAAGUGAUGACAUGGAUCUGUUAAAUGGCUCUAAAGCUGUUUUUGUGUUAAAAAGAGAGCCUCUUUGCAGACUAUUGGCUUUGAAGGGCAUUGCCUGAGGCUCAAAUACUACGAGGCUGCCUGUUAAUGACUUGUCAAGAGAGGGAGGGGAAUAGCUGGAGACAGGAGUUCAUGCUAAGCUCUGCUGGGUUUUCCUAAUUGCAGUUUUGAUUCCUGGGUUGUUGAGGGCGAUUUGUUAAAGUUCUGUACCUCUAACAUAACA